UUCCCCAAUAAUUCCCCAAUUCCCCGUUUUUCUCCAGGGAGGAUGGCGAGCUGGAGGAGGGCGAGCUGGAGGAAGACGACGGCGCCGAGGAGGCUCCGGAGCGCUCCCGUUCCCGCUCCCGUUCCCAAUCCCAAUCCCGCUCCCAGUCCCGCUCCCAGUCCCGCUCCCAAUCCCGGCGGGAGCGGCGCCGCAGCGGCUCCGAGGACGAGAAGGGGCAGCGGCGCCUGAAGCGCAAACGCCGCAAGGAGCGCGACAAGGACAAGCGCAGGGCCAAGAAAAAGAGGAAAUCCAAGCACAAGCGGCACGCUUCGUCCAGCGAGGAAUUCUCGGAUUUCAGCGACGACUCCGAGUUCAGCCCCGGGGAGAAGGGACACCGGAAAUACCGGGAAUACAGCCCGGCCUAUCCCCAUUCCCAGGCUCCGCGGCCGAGCCGCUCCAGGCCCGAUUCCCGCGGUUACGGCUUCGAGGACCCCGAGGCCUUCGGCCCCAACGAGGAGGAGGAGGAGGCCAAGGACGGCUACGGAGACUUCGGAGCGGAGCUGAGCCCCUUCCGGCGCGGCAGGGAGCACGGCCAGAGGGCCAGGGGCCGGGGCCGGGCCCG